CCUACGGGAGGCAGCAGUGAGGAAUAUUGGUCAAUGGGCGAGAGCCUGAACCAGCCAUCCCGCGUGCAGGAUGACGGCCCUACGGGUUGUAAACUGCUUUUAUGUACCAAGAAUAGGCACUACGUGUAGUGUUAUGACGGUAGUACAUGAAUAGCAUCGGCU
rnacentral:rRNA from 1 species